UCAAGCUAUAAAGAGCAUAGGGUGGAUGCCUUGGCACCAAGAGCCGAAGAAGGACGUGGUCAGCUGCGAUAAGCCAUGGUCAGCCGCAAGCAGGCAAUGACCCAUGGAUUUCCGAAUGCGGAAACGCGGCACGUUAACAGCGUGUCAUCAUGUCAUGAAUAAAUAGUGACAUGAGGGGAACCCGGUGAACUGAAACAUCUAAGUAGCCGGAGGAAGAGAAAGAAACAUCGAUUUCCUUAGUAGCGGCGAGCGAAAGGGAAAGAGCCCAAACCGAGGGUCUACGGACGUUCGGGGUUCGGACUUGCAAAAAUCGAAGUACUUAUAGACGAAGAGGUUUGGAACUUCCUACCAAAGAGGGUAACAGUCCCGUAGUCGAAAUGAGUACAAGAGGGCGAGAAUCCAGAGUACCACAGGACACGAGUAAUCCGGUGGGAAGACGGGGGGCCCACCCCCCAAGGCUAAAUACUACUUGGUGACCGAUAGCGUAUAGUACCGUGAGGGAAAGGUGAAAAGAACCCCGGGAGGGGAGUGAAAGAGAACCUGAAACCCUAUGUUUACAAGCAGUGGGAGCGAAAGCGACCAUGUACUUUUUGUAGAACGGGCCGGCGAGUUACUGUGUGUAGCGAGGUUAAGGUGUAGAGCACCGGAGCCGUAGCGAGAGCGAGUCUCAAAUGGGCGAAUAGUUGCAUACAGUAGACCCGAAACCGGGUGACCUAUCCAUGGACAGGAUGAAGCGGUGGUAAAGCACCGUGGAGGUCCGAACCACACGUAUGUUGAAAAAUGCGGGGAUGAGCUGUGGAUAGCGGAGAAAUUCCAAUCGAACUCGGAGAUAGCUGGUUCUCCCCGAAAUAGCUUUAGGGCUAGCCUCGAUUUAGAUUACCGGGGGUAGAGCACUGAAUGGGCUAGGGGGCCACAAAGCUUACCGAACCCUAUCAAACUUCGAAUACCGGAUAAUUGAUGAUCGGGAGUCAGACAGUGUGAGAUAAGUUUCAUUGUCGAAAGGGAAACAGCCCAGAUCUACGACUAAGGUCCCAAAGUUCAAGUUAAGUGGAAAAGGAUGUGCAAUUGCGUAGACAACCAGGAUGUUGGCUUAGUAGCAGCCAUUCAUUCAAAGAGUGCGUAAUAGCUCACUGGUCGAGUGAUUGUGCGCCGAAAAUGUAACGGGGCUAAACUUGACACCGAAGUCUAGGCAGAAGGAAACUUCUGGGUAGGGGAGCAACGUGUACGGGCAGAAGCAGAAGCGGAAGCGACUGUGGACUGUACAGGAGAGAGAAUGCCGGCAUGAGUAGCGAGAGCAAAGUGAGAAUCUUUGCCGUCGAAAGCCUAAGGUUUCCUGAGGAAGGCUCGUCCUCUCAGGGUAAGUCGGGACCUAAGCCGAGGACAACAGUCGUAGGCGAUGGACAAUCGGUUAAUAUUCCGAUACCGCCGAGCAACCGGAUGCAGUGACACAGAAGGAUAGGCAGAGCGUGGCGAUGGUAGACCACGUCCAAGCAGUGAGGCUGUUGUGUAGUGAAGUACGCACAACGUAAGGCUGGGCUGUGAUGGGGAACGAUUACGAUCGGUAAGCUGCUGAAUUCACGCUGGCGAGAAAAGCUGCUACGAAGCGAAGGCGCCCGUACCGCAAACCGACACAGGUAGGCGAGGAGAGAAUCCUAAGACGAGCGGGAGAACCCUUGUUAAGGAACUCGGCAAAAUGACUCCGUAACUUAGGGAGAAGGAGUGCCCAGGAAUGGGCCGCAGAGAAUAGACCCAAGCGACUGUUUACCAAAAACACAGGUCUGUGCGAAGUAGAGAUACGACGUAUACGGGCUGACGCCUGCCCAGUGCCGGAAGGUUAAGGGGAAGUGUUAGGGCAACCGAAGCACGGAACUUAAGCCCCGGUGAACGGCGGCCGUAACUAUAACGGUCCUAAGGUAGCGAAAUUCCUUGUCGGGUAAGUUCCGACCCGCACGAAUGGUGU
rnacentral:rRNA from 1 species